rnacentral:misc_RNA from 1 species
AAAAAAAAAAAAAAAAAAACCAAACAAAAAAAAAAAAAAAAAAAGCAAAUCUUAUGAACAAGAACUGAAAUAGAAUAUUUGAAUAAUCUAGGCAUUUAGCAGUAGAUUCAGUCUUUUCCUACAGUAUUUCUCAUUGAAGGAUAAAUUCAUUUUUUUAAGUGCAAUUAAGUGCAGAGGAUUGAAUCUAAUAUCAGCAAUUCCACUUUUUUUGAAAUUUUUCUUUCGAUCCUGAACAAUUUGUCCAACAUUUAUUGAGGUCUUGCUGCUCUUACUGCCUAACUAGGUAUGAUAAGCAGCUGAAAAAGUAAAACUAGCAGCUAGUGGUGGCUACUACAAAAUAAACUAAGGCUCUUAACAUAUCAUCCACAUGUAAAAUAAGAAUUAACAUGACAAGAUUCAUGCCUGGGAGUCAUUUGAAGAUUAAAGGUCAGGCAUGUAGCAAACAUCCUCAAGUGAUAAACUGACGAAAAAAAAAACAACAAUAAGGUAUCAAAGGUUAACAUCAUGCUCCUUACUCCUUAGAAGUGCAGGGUUCUUUCCAAUCACCAAGAUUGAAGCAAAUUGGCAAGAGUUUUGAAUCAUAAUAAAAGAAAGGGACAUAUUUGUUCUUAUAGUUACUGAAAAUUUAAUGGUAAAUGUCCAAAAAGUGAAUUUAUAACUAUGCUUAAAUGUCAAAAAAAACAAAGAUGACGAUUCUUGUUUUCAGGAUGAAUUGUAAUGCAUACCAAUUUGCCAAAAAAGUGCAAAUUUAGCAUGAAUACAAAAACCUGUCCUUUAGAUAAUGUAUGUUGACAAAACAAAACCCAGCCAAGCACAUUCCCCUUUCAGCUUAUUGAGGCAGUAUUAAAAUUAGUUUCAGCUAGCAAAACAGAAAUAGUUCAAGUAACACCACUGAUUUAUUGAUAACACAUUACUAUACAUUUACAUUCAGAGAAAAGAAAUAUAUUGGACAGAAUAAACCUGGUGAGCGAUGUUAUGAAUCACAAGAACAGAUCUUGUAUAUUGCAUUAAACCAUUGUCUCGAUAAUAUGCCUU